rnacentral:rRNA from 1 species
CGCGUAGGCGGCCUUGUAAGUCCGACAUGAAAUGUACCGGUUCAACCGGGGCACUGUGUCGGAAACUGCUCGGCUAGAGGUCGAGGGAGGAAAGUGGAAUUCCUGGUGUAGCGGUGAAAUGCGUAGAUAUCAGGAGGAACACCCGUGGCGAAGGCGGCUUUCUAUCUCGAAACUGACGCUGAGGCGCGAAAGCUAGGGGAAGGCAAACG